GCAUCCUCAGCAGCCACAGGCAAGGUAAGUUUGGGAUUUGCAUCUCCCUCAGCUUACCUGGCUGAGCUGGCUAGUUUUAUGUCAACAUGAAACAGUGCAUAGUCCUCAGAAAGGAAGGAACCUCAACUGAGAAAAUGUCUUCGUAAGAGGGCAGCUCAUUGUGAGUGGUGCCAGCCCUGGGCUGGUGGUCCUCAGUUCUGUAAGAAAGCAGGCCAUACAGCAAGCCACAAGGAACAAGCCACUGAGCAGUGCUCCUCCAAGGCUUCUGCAUCAUCGGCUCCUGCCUCCAGGUUCCUGUCCUGAUUUCUUCCAGUGAUGAACAGCAAGGUGGAAAGCAUGGUGACAAACAAGUGACCUAGAGCCACAAUUCCUGCCAGUCAGUGAUGUGGGCUGAGAAGGCACGGUUUUAGUUCGCACCCAUCCUACACCUUCUGCGGCUGACCUACAGGCCUCCUUCCUCCUCCUCAGGCUCGGAGUUCACGUUGCUCUGCUCAGACAUUCGAGCCACCGGUGUGGCUGGUGGAACUCUGGCU
rnacentral:lncRNA from 1 species